UACGUAGGGUGCAAGCGUUGUUCGGAAUUACUGGGCGUAAAGGGCGCGUAGGCGGGCCCGUAUGUCGAUUGUGAAAGCCCUGGGCUUAACCCGGGAAUGGCAGUCGAAACUGCGGGUCUUGAAUGCUUGAGAGGAUGGCGGAAUUCCCGGUGUAGAAGUGAAAUUCGUAGAUAUCGGGAAGAACACCUGAGGCGAAGGCGGCUAUCUGGCGAUGCAUUGACGCUGAGGCGCGAAAGCGUGGGGAGCAAACAGG
rnacentral:rRNA from 1 species